UACAGAGGUCUCAAGCGUUGUUCGGAUUCAUUGGGCGUAAAGGGUGCGUAGGCGGCGCGGUAAGUCGGGUGUGAAAUCUCGGAGCUUAACUCCGAAACUGCAUUCGAUACUGCCGUGCUUGAGGACUGGAGAGGAGACUGGAAUUUACGGUGUAGCGGUGAAAUGCGUAGAUAUCGUAAGGAAGACCAGUGGCGAAGGCGGGUCUCUGGCCUAAUACUGACGCUGAUGCGCGAAAGCUAGGGGAGCAAACGGG
rnacentral:rRNA from 1 species